rnacentral:tRNA from 1 species
GGGUCCUUAGCUCAAUGGUCAGAGCUGCUGGCUCAUACCCGGCUGGUUGCAGGUUCGAGUCCUGCAGGGCCCACCA